rnacentral:rRNA from 1 species
UUAGAACAGCACAUGCGGUUUGGCGCUGAAGGGGUCGCGCAGGACGCGCAGGUCCGGGCGUUCGGCGAUGGUGUAGCCGGCGCGGAAGUCGCCAAAGGCAAUCGGGUAGCUGUUGGAGGUCGGGUCCGGCAUGUCCUCUGCAAUCAGCACCGGGUAGCCCAUAAGGCGCGCGGGCUCACCCGCGGCGAGGCCGUCAGACCACAGGAAGCGGCCGUCGGCGUCCUUCAACUUCCUGAGCAUUCCCGCGGUUUUGGAGUUCAUGAUGAACGUCGCAUUGGCGCGGUAUUCCGCCCCCAGCGCAUAGACCAGGUCGAUGAUCGCAUCGCCAUUGCCGACCUCACCAUCCACCCCGGUUGCCUUGUAGCCGAUGUUGCCCCAGGUCCAGCUGUCGUUGUCCGUGACCGGGUAGUUGAGAAAGCCCGUGGGCUUGUCGAUGCCGUCGCCGUUGAUGAAGGCAUCGGCCUCGGGCCGCGCGAAUUUGCCGGCGAUGCGGCCGGCCAGCCAGCCCUCGAUAUCAAAGGCGCUGUCAUCGAGCAGCCGCUGCGACGCCUUGGGCAAUGCGCUCAGCUCAUGCAGCGGGAUCGAGAUGCGGUCGAUGCUGCCGGUGGAGGUUUCCGCCGACAGGCCGGUUUCAUUGGCCCAGCCGGCGCCCAUUUCGCUGUGGUCGAUCAGCACGUCAUAGGACGUUGCCUCCACAUGCACCACGGAGGCCACGGCGCGGAUCGAGGCGGAGGCGUUCAGCACCGCCUUGACGGUGUCGGAGGUCUGCGGAUCGACCAGAUAGCC